rnacentral:rRNA from 1 species
GACGAACGCUGGCGGCGUGCUUAACACAUGCAAGUCGAACGGAAAGGCCCUGCUUUUGUGGGGUGCUCGAGUGGCGAACGGGUGAGUAACACGUGAGUAACCUGCCCUUGACUUUGGGAUAACUUCAGGAAACUGGGGCUAAUACCGGAUAGGAGCUCCUGCUGCAUGGUGGGGGUUGGAAAGUUUCGGCGGUUGGGGAUGGACUCGCGGCUUAUCAGCUUGUUGGUGGGGUAGUGGCUUACCAAGGCUUUGACGGGUAGCCGGCCUGAGAGGGUGACCGGCCACAUUGGGACUGAGAUACGGCCCAGACUCCUACGGGAGGCAGCAGUGGGGAAUAGUGCACAAUGGGCGGAAGCCUGAUGCAGCAAAGCCGCGUGCGGGAUGACGGCCUUCGGGUUGUAAACCGCUUUCGCCUGUGACGAAGCGUGAGUGACGGUAAUGGGUAAAGAAGCACCGGCUAACUACGUG